rnacentral:rRNA from 1 species
AUUGAACGCUAGCGGGAUGCUUUAUACAUGCAAGUCGAACGAGUGGCGGACGGGUGAGUAAGAUAUCGGAACGUGCCCAGUAGCGGGGGAUAACUACUCGAAAGAGUGGCAAAUACCGCAUAAUAUUGUUGCGGCGGAUAUCGGUUUAGCUAGUUGGUGGGGUAAAGGCUCACCAAGGCAACGAUCCGUAGCUGGUUUGAGAGGCCGACCGGCCACACUUGGACUGAGACACGGCCCAGACUCCUACGGGAGGCAGCAGUGGGGAAUUUUGGACAAUGGGGGAAACCCUGAUCCAUCCAUCCCGCGGGUAUGAGAAGGCCUUCGGGUUGUAAAGUACUUUUGGCAGAGAGGCGGUAUCUGCAGAAUAAGCACCGGCUAACUACGUGCCAGCAGCCGCGGUAAUUC